UAAUGGUAUCAUCAAAUGAUUUGGUGUAUCGUAGCACAACAUCAAUUGUUCAAGAUUCGGCAUUGUCUUCAGAAAGUGGUUGACCUACUUGAUUUGAUCAGCUGUGUCUUCGUUGUCAUCACAAAGUUCGUUAAUCUCUAUUAUCAAGUCCGGUGAAGGUCCUUAAGAUAUUUAAGUUUGAAGAAAUUUGUGAUGACAAUGAAGACAUAAAGGAGCAGAUCGAGCACGUCAAACACUUCCUAAUUAAAGCAAUGCCAAAUCUUGAUCAGGUGAUGUUGUGGUAGGAUAAACCAAAUGAUCUAAUGAAUGUCAUGAGAUGGUGUAGUCUUUUUAGACGACUACGUCAUCUCCAUGAUCUGAUGAAUGUCACUUGCAACAUCUUUCCCGCUUCUAGUAUCCUAGCUGAGCUUGAAAAACUCAUGGCUUUGGGCUUAGCUAGAAAGAC
rnacentral:sRNA from 1 species